GGGACACGUGGUAUCCUGUCUGAAUAUGGGGGGACCAUCCUCCAAGGCUAAAUACUCCUGACUGACCGAUAGUGAACCAGUACCGUGAGGGAAAGGCGAAAAGAACCCCGGCGAGGGGAGUGAAAAAGAACCUGAAACCGUGUACGUACAAGCAGUGGGAGCCUCUUUUAUGGGGUGACUGCGUACCUUUUGUAUAAUGGGUCAGCGACUUAUAUUCUGUAGCAAGGUUAACCGAAUAGGGGAGCCGAAGGGAAACCGAGUCUUAACUGGGCGUUAAGUUGCAGGGUAUAGACCCGAAACCCGGUGAUCUAGCCAUGGGCAGGUUGAAGGUUGGGUAACACUAACUGGAGGACCGAACCGACUAAUGUUGAAAAAUUAGCGGAUGACUUGUGGCUGGGGGUGAAAGGCCAAUCAAACCGGGAGAUAGCUGGUUCUCCCCGAAAGCUAUUUAGGUAGCGCCUCGUGAAUUCAUCUCCGGGGGUAGAGCACUGUUUCGGCAAGGGGGUCAUCCCGACUUACCAACCCGAUGCAAACUGCGAAUACCGGAGAAUGUUAUCACGGGAGACACACGGCGGGUGCUAACGUCCGUCGUGAAGAGGGAAACAACCCAGACCGCCAGCUAAGGUCCCAAAGUCAUGGUUAAGUGGGAAACGAUGUGGGAAGGCCCAGACAGCCAGGAUGUUGGCUUAGAAGCAGCCAUCAUUUAAAGAAAGCGUAAUAGCUCACUGGUCGAGUCGGCCUGCGCGGAAGAUGUAACGGGGCUAAACCAUGCACCGAAGCUGCGGCAGCGACACUAUGUGUUGUUGGGUAGGGGAGCGUUCUGUAAGCCUGUGAAGGUGUGCUGUGAGGCAUGCUGGAGGUAUCAGAAGUGCGAAUGCUGACAUAAGUAACGAUAAAGCGGGUGAAAAGCCCGCUCGCCGGAAGACCAAGGGUUCCUGUCCAACGUUAAUCGGGGCAGGGUGAGUCGACCCCUAAGGCGAGGCCGAAAGGCGUAGUCGAUGGGAAACAGGUUAAUAUUCCUGUACUUGGUGUUACUGCGAAGGGGGGACGGAGAAGGCUAUGUUGGCCGGGCGACGGUUGUCCCGGUUUAAGCGUGUAGGCUGGUUUUCCAGGCAAAUCCGGAAAGUCAAGGCUGAGGCGUGAUGACGAGGCACUACGGUGCUGAAGCAACAAA
rnacentral:rRNA from 1 species